rnacentral:rRNA from 1 species
UACGUAGGGUGCAAGCGUUGUCCGGAAUUAUUGGGCGUAAAGAGCUCGUAGGCGGUUUGUCACGUCGGAUGUGAAAACCCGAGGCUUAACCUCGGGCCUGCAUUCGAUACGGGCUGACUAGAGUUCGGUAGGGGAGACUGGAAUUCCUGGUGUAGCGGUGAAAUGCGCAGAUAUCAGGAGGAAUACCAGCGGCGAAGGCGGCGCUCUGGGCCGGUACUGACGCUGAGGAGCGAAAGCGUGGGUAGCAAACAGG